rnacentral:lncRNA from 1 species
UUGGAGAUGUUUUACAAACCCCAAGAAUGCACAAACUUUCGUUAAGUUCGGCAAAUGUGAGUUCGACUGGAAGGAAAUAGCCUUUCUAGGUUAUACAAUAUCUAAGGAAGGAAUUAUUGUUGACUCAACUACAGUAGAAGUUGUUUAAGAGGAAACGACUAGAAAAUCCUACCGAAAUUUGGAGUUCUUGAUGGUAGCCGAACCUUUCCUUUGGUUUGAUCAAGGAAUUUUCUAAGAGUGCAAGACUUGGCAAGUUAUGUGGGAUUUUAAAUGUGAGGAGGAAUUUUGAAAGUGGAAAAAAAAAAUGUUUAAUCGAUGCACUUGUGUUAGCCUUACCAAGCUGAGGAGGCAGUAUUGUGAUUUAUAUAGAUGUUUCAAAUGAUAGCUUACAAUGUAUACUACUGAUGCAUGACGAGGUGAUUGUGCAUACUUCUGGAAAGUUAAGAUAUCACGAGAGAAAGUAGCCAACUCAUGAUUUGGAGUUAGUGGCUGUGAUAUUCGCAUUAAAGAAGUACAAACAUUUCCUAUAUGAGGUAGACAGGAAGCCCCUUAAGCUACUAUCCGAUUGGGAAGUUAAAUUGCAUUUUGGUGAUCAAAAACUUGAUUGUAAAUUGGGCGGAUAGAAACUAUGAGAUAAGAAUUGAAAAGUGUAAGUUAUUGACUAACUUGCUAAGCAUGACUAUUGAGGGAUGUGAUAUUUUUGUAAGUUUGAAUUUCGAGGACGAAAUUCCUUUUAAGGAGGGGAGGAUGUGAGGACCCGAAAAAUUUCUUAUUUUUAUCAAAUAUUAACCGUUUAAUUAAGUAUUUAACCACCUGUUUCUCCCAAAUAAUUUAUUACGACCAUUUUAAAUCCAUUCGUAUGGAAUAAUGUCUUCAUUAUGUUUUUGAAAUGUCCCGUUAACAACUUCAAUUUUCGGAAGGAUUGUUUAAGUGAGAAAUAAUGAACACGAGUGUUUCAAGGUGAUAUUGUAUUCGAGAGUAUGAUUAUCCUGGGGAAAUUAAGAACGGACAAUAGCAGAUUAAGAAAAGUUAAUCGAGAAUCAAAGGUGAAUAAGUUCUAGGUGAGCAUAUAUUACUCACGCGUGGAUAGUUUUCCAAAGGACGCAUGGAUACAAAUUUAUUGGAGAUUUGCGGAGUUAAUACUCGACUCAUGUAAAGACUCGUAAAACUCCUAUUAAAACCCUAAUUUGAGCUUAUUUAAUUAUUUACUUGUUCAUUUAUUCCGAGUAUUAUUUUCUAGACCUAUUGAACCUAAAUACAUGGUAAUAUAACUUCGUUAUAUUUUUAAAAUGAUUCGUUUCGAAAAUUAAUUUCCUAGAGCGCGUUUAGUAAAAAUAGUGAAUAGUACUUGGAGAUUUUAUCCGCGUAGUAGCACAAUAAGCUUGGAAUAUUGGAGACUUGUACUAUGGUCCUAAAAUAGGUAAUCUUAUGAAUAAAUAUUCAAGUGAUAGUUAAUAGUGCAAUCGUUAUAAGAAUUUCUCGGAAGUUUCGCGUUAUAACGUUAAAUUUGACGGUACGCGUUUUCACGCGCGACUUCAAUUGAGGGACUUUAGACCCUUAUUUCGGGACAAUUAAGAGUGAAUAAUAUUUACAUGAAUAUAUAUGCCUUGGAGGUUUAGUGCACUAGUGAACCAAACGCGCGAGGAAAUCAAGCCGUAAUCGCACCAAACGGCCCCUAAUGAGAGUUGACUUUUGGGUGAAUUACCACCACUUAUAUCACCUUCUCUUGGAAGCUAAAGGAAGUCAGAUUUCCCUCCAUUUUCUCUCUCCUCACAGCCGACCAAACACCCUCCUCUCUCUAACACAUUUGCUUCAAAAUUUCUGCUCACUAAUCUCACUCAAAACCACCCCAAAUCAUCUCCAAAUUUAACCAAACUUGCACCACACCUAGCUUGACACUUGAGGAUCAUUUUGAGCUGCAAACAAGGGCUGGAAAUCACGGUUUUUCUGGGGUAAUAGAGGGCCGAAAUUUCUGAUUGAACACCAACCCAAAGUAAGUGAUGAUCCACUCUUGGAAACUUGAAGUUUGAAAGCUAUCUUACCUUGUUAAGUUCAUGCAUGCAUUUGGUUAGCUUGUAUAUGGUGUAAAAAUGUGAUUGUGGGCUCUUUGAAUUCCCACACUUGGGUUGCUGUUGCUGAUUUGAUGAGUGAUGGUGAUUAUAUUGUUGGUUUAGUGGUUAUAAUGAUGCAUUAGUGGUGGGUAAUUAGUAGAAACUUCAUUGGGUGUAAGAAGCAAAAACUUCCGAUUUUGCCCCUGCCAUGUUCGGCCAUUUUAAGGCCAGUUUUUAAUGAACUAAUGGCUUGAAUUGGAUGCCUAUAUGAUGUAUUAGAGGUGUGGAAAAUUUCAUUGGAAAAUAUUGAGGUUUGAUUGAGCAAAUGAAUUUUUUUGAGAAACCAGCAAAUCUGGAAAACUGAUUCGCGUGUGUCUCUGACCAGCAGUAGUAUUUUGGCUAUAACUCUGUCCUCGGAUGUCGAAAUCAUGUGCCGUCGGUGGCGUUGAAACUAGACAUUCCUAGCUUUAAUUUGGUAUAUAAUGCACGUUCUGAUUCUUUGUGAGCAAGCCGAACCAAAUGUUUUAAAUUCGCUGUCCUGUUGCUCUGUUCAUCUGGAAUGAAGUGUUCAGGCAGCAACUUGAUGCCCGAUUUUGAACCAGAUGGGUGCCGAAUUUGGAAACGAUUUCUUCUGUGAUAUUUUAACUCUAUGAAUGUAUUUUCCAACGGCGUAAGCCAUGCUCGAUUUCGAGCUAUAUUGACUGAGUUGUGACUGAAACAAGUGGACUGCUCUGUUUUGGAAAACCCUAAUGUUUGGACUGGUUUGGAACAAAAUCUUGGAGUGAACUUGUUAGUUGAUGUUCUUGAUAUUAAACACUUACCAAAGGUAUUAUGGAUGUUUCUUAGGCCUUUAUUUCACAAAUGAACCAUGGUUGGAUAACUUUCUUGGUUAAACGAUUGGAAAUUUGGAAAAUGAAAGUCAAAGGCAGAUUGCCUUAGGAUUUUUCUUGAACUUUGGUUGGCUAAUUAACUACCUUGCCGAAGGUAUUUUUCCCCGAAAUUCGAUAGAGAGAUACUUUCCAUAUAGUAUUGAAAUACUGCCAAUUUUAGUGCCAAUUCAAGUUCGUUUCGAUACCCAAUUGAAUUACUUAAGUUAGAGGUUCAAAUCUGGAAAAUUCUCAUCCAGUCUUGAAUUUGCUCAACUUCGGGCUACCGUAUCUCGGUACUCGAAACUCCGAUUCGUGAUCCGCUUGUUUUGUUAUAAACUUCACUUGCAACACUAAUUGAGCUACAAAAUUCAGAGGCCGGUUUGCAACGUGUGAAUCGUGCCGAAUUUCCAAAGUUGGCCGAAAUCCAACUUAAUUCUGCCAUGAAAACCCACCCUGCGUCUUCAAGCUCAUUUUUGACCACUUUUCACUUCGAUUCAUGGAAAAGUGUCUUCUAGGAACUUAUAGUACUCUCUAAGAGGUUUCCAACGGUGUAAAGUUUUCCAAUUCUCGACUUAUACCGAGCGAGUUACGAUUUUUCAAGGAUUCAUCAUAAAACUGAAAAAUUUUCCAAUUUCAAAGAAAUAGAGUUUUUCAAGAACUCUUUAUUCUUUUGAUAUUCUUAAAAUGUUUUGCUUACGAUUUUCAUGAUAAAAACUCAAAUAAUAUUGUACAUAAUAAAAGGCAAGUUGAACCUCGAUUUACGUGUAAUUGAGGUUCCUUUUUGCGAAAUAAUCCUUAGAUUGUACUAGUGUACAAUCUUCUUGAUAAGUGGGUUAAUUGUGUGAUUAUCCACUGUUAAUUGCCAGGCGCACAAGGAGACCUUCAAGAGGAUCUCACCGUGGACACUUGAACUCCCAGAAAAUAAUUCUUAUUGAAUUGCUCGGUGAGUGUCAAGUGUGUGAAUUUUGAUACUUGUUUAUUUGUGGUAUUUGUUGAAAGUUUUAAAAAUAAGGGCGGGUGCGUACUUUAUCGCACUCGUUCUAAUUUCAAAAGAAUGAAUGAAAUGUAUUGAAUGAAUGAAUGAAAUGCAAUGUUAUGUCAUGAAUGCUUAUGUCGUUGGAGUGAACCUCCUCGACUUUCAAAUGAAUGGGGGACGCCCAAACUCAUAGGCCGUCCUUAGACUCGAGCCAGCAAUGGGCUUGGUCGGGGAUUUGGGCGAGCCAUGAGAUACAUAUAAGCUCGACCUAAUAAGAGGUCUUGCUUGGCAUACUCGUUGAGUAUCGCCCAAUAAUGGACAUUGUGGGCCCUUGGGGUGUACGGUGGACGGAGGAAAGAAAGUGGUGAUCUACGGAAAUGGAAAUACCGACCCGGUUGACAGGAGGGUCAAUGCGGGAAAGUAUACGAAUGACAUCGACAGAGCGAGUGGAACUUAGCUCCUGAGAGCUACUAUAUCCUUGAAUUGUUUCUGAUUUACUUUUCCUGCUCGAAUGAUUGAUUAAUGAAAUAUCCUGUUUUAUUUAAUGAAUUUGGGAUUGCUAUUUGAACAAAGUGCUUGCAUGUGUGUUCUUGGCCUCACGAGCGUUUUGCUCACCCUAUAGAUUUGUUUUCCUUAACAGGAUUGGACUUGGAGAAAUGUUGGAGAAACCCCUCUUGGCGUACUCUUGUUUUAGGGUUUCCGUUACACUUUGGGGCUAGACUUGUGAUUGAUGUAUAUUUUGAAUAUUGAUGUAUUUCGAGAUUUCGAUGUAAUGAUUGGGCAGAUGUUGAAUAUUGAUAAGCUUGAAAGCUUACGCACUGAUUGUAUUUAUGGUAUUUAAUCGUAACGUCUAGUGUUGUAUUAAGCUUGGACGGAAAUUGCUUGAGUCCUGGCGAGAGCUGGGCAGGCGUCCCGCGGAUACCCUUUGGUUCGCCUUAGGGAGAAGUGGGGGCGUCACAGUUGGUAUCAGAGCUUAGGCUUUAGAUCUCUGUAGUGUAUCCUAGGCUUAAAUGUUUAGGAUGCCGGACUGUGGAACUGGUUGGAAAGUUAAGUGACUGCUCGUGGGAACGAAAACUAGAACUUAGGUUUGGAUUAGUGGAUGAUAAGGAGUCUUAAUCUUGUGUGAUACAUGUGGGAUAAUAUGGGGUGAUCAAAUCCAGUUUAUUCAGUGUAUUUGGUCCCAUUUAAGCUUUUAAUCUUAGUUGUAAGUUACGGAAAGUAAUGGUGGCAUUGCACCGUCUUGGAGACGCGUUAUGGUAACCAUGGCCGUGAAGGGCCUAGGGAAGGGCUCGUUGGAAGUGUGAUCCAACUCGCCGAACUAGUAUGAUAUGUUAUUUCCAAAGGACUUACUCGUGCCCAAGUAAUGGAGUGUUUAUAGUGGCCGAUCAUUGGAAGUGGCUAUUUGAGGAAAAUAGGGUGAUUCAAGGGGAUAAUCGAGAACCGAGGGCGAUUGUGGAUGUCUAGACUACUAGAAUUCCUAAAGUGGAGAUUGAGAUAUUUAAGGAGCGAGGAAGACAAAAGCUCCUUGUGAGAAGCUUUAAAAAGCUAAGAAUCGACUUGUGGGGUAGUGUCCGAAAUUAAAGACAUGAUGGAUAAGUCGAUGGCUGGGUGUAUUAUCUUGGUUGAACAAGUGGAGAAUGACAAGAUAUUCGAUAAGGGACAUGAGAUUUAAAACUCCUAGUUCUGGAAAUGGAAAUGAUCCUACGGAGGUAAUUAAGACUUUUGGCUCCGCCAAUCACUAAGUUAGUGAUUUAAACUAUUUUAAUAGUUUUGCCAAAGAUAGAAGGGGUGGCACUCGCUUAAAGGCCUUUGCAUUUUGUAUCUUGUUUCACAAUGUUUCCUACCUUUUGAGGCAAUUAAACGUUACUCAUGGCAUGAUUGACUUUACUGUUUCAUGAUUUCAAAUCCAUGAUUGGGUUGUACCCAUUUGCGAUUAUUUUGGUAUCUUCCCUUUUUAUUCUUGUAUUUGUUGGCGUGAUAAAGGUAUCACUUUUCAAACUCCGUUUAUAUGCACUCACUUUAUGUCAUGCCUUUAAAUAUGUUAAAUUUAUGGGUGACCAAAAGAGUGAAAAGGAGUGAGGGUGAGGGAUUAAGCAACCCCAAGCUCAAGGAGACGAUUAUAGAGUGACUGCUGGACUGGAUCAAAACCCUAGAAAUGAAUGAAAAUAAUCGUGUAGUUAUUGCUAUUAAUCAGACGAUUGAUGCCCUAGCAUGAUUAGUGGAGCACUAAAACCCUAAACCAAUCAACCAACCUAAGAACCAAGUAAGGUUGAGGAGUUGAGCAAUUCUUGAAGUUCGCUCCAUCUAAGUUUCACGGAGAAUCUAAUCUCGAAAUAGUAGGAUCGAUUUAAGGGAAUCAAAUAAGGUACUAGUGAAAACAAGAUAUUUGAGUUUCUUCUCGAGUAACUUAUAAGUAAGUAUUGGAGAGUGAACUAAGACUUGAAAAUUUUAUAUUAAGGAAUAUGGUCCCUGCAUCUGGUUAUGUUUGUAAGUAAUGAUAACAAUCUCUUGGAGACUUAAGAACUCGCCGUAUUAAGCAGAGGAUAGUUAAGAUUGGUAUCCCGGGGUAACUUAUAAGCAAAAGAAUGAAAGAGUACCAUGACUCGAGCUUCCAUUAUGAAUAGUUACUUAUUUUGAUCCUCUGAUCUACCUGGCAGGCUAGCAUUUGACUUAAACCAACCGGCAAGAUGACAACUUUGGAGGAAAUGCUUAAGGAAAUGGAUAUUCUUCGAAAUGAGGUAGAAUUUCAAAGAAAACUAGCUGAGUACUGGGAAGGACGGUGGAAACAAGAAUAUGCAGAGAAAAUUGAAUUACUACGCCAGAAUGUAGAAUUAGAGAAGAAAUGCAAAGAAAACCCUCGAACUGGCCAAGCCGCCACUUCUCAUGCACAUUGUGGAUACUGCGGCAAGGUUAACCACGUUGAGGCCGAGUGCUGGAGAAAGCAAGGAAAAUGUUUUAAGUGCGGUAGUACCGAGCAUAAGUUUUCGAAUUGCCCUGGUAAUCCUAUCAAAAAGAGAAAAUACUCAACAGCCAGCUAGGCCGCUAUAAAGCAAUCAAGUGCCAGAUGGAAGUAAUUAGUACUAAUGUUUAUGAAGGGGGUUCUAGUAGUGAAAGUUUUACGAGUGAGGAUGUUUUGACUACACUCGAGGGAUAGGGGUUGUAGUACCCUAGACUAGACUAGCACUUUUGGAAAUUUAACCUUGUGGAAAAGGGAAAGGUCUUUUGUUUUGUAUCUUGGCAAUUUGGCACGUUUUGCUACGAUCUUAUUGUUUCCCUUUUUCCUUUUGAAAUGAUUUGAUAAAUCUAUUCCAACUUGAUGUACCUAUUAUGAUCAUUAUGACAUAUGAAACUUUACUCCGCUUUUGAUUUGUUUUACAACUUACAUGUAUAUUCAAAAUCUUGCUCACACUUUUAGACUUAUCAUAAGACACGAACGGUAUUAGACAUGGUCGAGGUUGUGCUUGAGAAUAUAGACCACCCUAAGGUCUGGAGGCGACUAGGGACCGUGACCAAAUCGGGAGCUUGGUGUUGAAGUUGGAAUCCAAUGUUUGGUUACCAAUUUGAUAUAUUAAUACUGUGAGACUUGGGUUAGUGAAAGAAAAUCUUUGGUAGAUUUCCGAGCAUAAUGAUUGAGGAGUCAGAUAUCACAUUUGGAAUGGAAACUUGAGGGUAUAUAUAUAUAUACAAUAACGAGACUUGAACGAUGUGUCCACUAAGAGCAAAUGCUCCAUUGUCUCACGUAGUCGGAAAAUUUCGACCAAUGGCAAGGAGCCGUGAUAUUAUUCAAGUUGAAUUUAAAGUAGAGCUAUUACCAGUUGAGGACUCUAGAGACUGAUGUGUUAAAAUCACCUCCAAUUCAAGAAAGAGACACUUUGAACUUUCAAUUACGCCAUUGGGUUGACCAAUGCACUAGUAGCAACUAUGACCUGAAUGCAUUGGGGUUUUAGAUCGUAAUUGGAUUAAUCUGUGGUAGCAUUAUUGAUGAUAUAUCGGUAUACUCUAAGGUUUGAGAAGAUCAUGAAAGGUACUUGGAGAUGUUUUACAAACCCCAAGAAUGCACAAACUUUCGUUAAGUUCGGCAAAUGUGAGUUCGACUGGAAGGAAAUAGCCUUUCUAGGUUAUACAAUAUCUAAGGAAGGAAUUAUUGUUGACUCAACUACAGUAGAAGUUGUUUAAGAGGAAACGACUAGAAAAUCCUACCGAAAUUUGGAGUUCUUGAUGGUAGUCGAACCUUUCCUUUGGUUUGAUCAAGGAAUUUUCUAAGAGUGCAAGACUUGGCAAGUUAUGUGGGAUUUUAAAUGUGAGGAGGAAUUUUGAAAGUGGAAAAAAAAAA